CGUGGAGGAACGCGCCGCCGAGCCACCAUCAUGCCUGGGCACUUACAGGAAGGCUUCGGCUGCGUGGUCACCAACCGAUUUGACCAGUUAUUUGACGACGAAUCGGACCCCUUCGAGGUGUUGAAGGCAGCAGAGAACAAGAAAAAAGAAGCCAGCGGGGGCGGCGUCGGGGGCCCUGGGGCCAAGAGCACAGCUCAGGCCGCAGCUCAGACCAACUCUAAUGCGGCGGGGAAACAGCUACGUAAAGAGUCUCAGAAAGACCGCAAGAAUCCGUUGCCCCCCAGCGUCGGCGUGGUUGACAAGAAGGAGGAGACGCAGCCUCCUGUGGCGCUUAAGAAAGAAGGAAGAAGACCUGAUCAACAACUUCAGGGUGAAGGGAAGAUAAUUGAUAGGAGACCAGAAAGGCGACCACCUCGUGAAAGAAGAUUUGAAAAGCCACUUGAAGAAAAGGGUGAAGGAGGAGAAUUUUCUGUUGAUAGACCGAUUAUUGACCGGCCUAUCCAAGGCCGUGGUGGUCUUGAAAGAGGUCGAGGAGGUCGUGGACGAGGAAUGGGCCGGGGAGAUGGCUUUGAUUCUCGUGGCAAACGUGAAUUUGAUAGGCAUAGUGGAAGUGAUAGAUCUUCUUUUUCACAUUACAGUGGCCUGAAGCAUGGGGACAAACGUGGAGGGAGCGGAUCUCACAACUGGGGAACUGUCAAAGAUGAAUUAACUGACUUGGAACAAUCAAAUGUGACUGAGGAAACACCUGAAGGUGAAGAACAUCCAGUUGCGGACACUGAAAAUAAGGAGAAUGAAGUUGAAGAAGUAAAGGAAGAGGGUCCAAAAGAAAUGACUUUGGAUGAGUGGAAGGCUAUUCAAAAUAAGGACCAGGCAAAAGUAGAAUUUAAUAUCCGAAAACCAAAUGAAGGUGCUGAUGGGCAGUGGAAGAAGGGAUUUGUUCUUCAUAAAUCAAAAAGUGAAGAGGCUUAUGCUGAAGACUCAGUUAUGGAUCACCAUUUCCGGAAGCCAGCAAAUGAUAUUACAUCUCAGCUGGAGAUCAAUUUUGGAGACCUUGGCCGCCCAGGACGUGGUGGCAGGGGAGGACGAGGUGGCCGUGGGCGUGGUGGACGUCCAAACCGUGGCAUCAGGACUGACAAGUCAAGUGCUUCUGCUCCUGAUGUGGAUGACCCAGAGGCAUUCCCAGCUCUGGCUUAACUGGAUGCCAUAAGACAGCCCUGGUUCCUUUGUGGACCCUCCUCUUUGAGGCUUGCAUGCUUAAGGAUCCCAAAUGACUAAGAAAUUAAAAAAAAAAACAAAAAAAAAAGACUGUCAUUCAUACCAUUCACACCUAAAGACUGAAUUUUAUCUGUUUUGAAAAUGAACUUCUCCUGCUACACAGAAGUAACAAUAUGGUAGUCAGUUUUGUAUUUAGAAAUGUAUUGGUAGCAGGGAUGUUUUCAUAAUUUUCAGAGAUUAUGCAUUCUUCAUGAAUACUUUUGUAUUGCUGCUUGCAAAUAUGCAUUUCCAAACUUGAAAUAUAGGUGUGAACAGUGUGUACCAGUUUAAAGCUUUCACUUCAUUUGUGUUUUUUAAUUAAGGAUUUAGAUGUUCCCCCUAUUACAAACUGGUUUUAAAUAUUGGACAUAAUAAUAUCAGUUUUAAUACCUGCUUUGCAUUUUCACACAUGGUCAACUGGGACAUGUAAACUUUGUCAAAUUUUAUGCUGUGUGGAAUACUAACUACUUUAUGUAUUUUAACUUAGUUUUAAUAUUUUCAUUUCUGGGGAUAAGGUCUUUUUCACUUCUCAUGAUAGCUGUUAUAUAUGCUAAAUCUUUAUAUACAGAAAUACCAGUACUUGAACAAAUUCAAAGCACAUUGAUUUAUUAACCCUUGCUCCUGCAUGGUUCAUUAGGUUCAAAUUAUAAUUGAUUCAAUUUCAAUUAUAUUUACUUUUAAAAUGUCACUUGCCCAUUUUAAAAAUCAGUCUAGACACCUUACUGGUAAAAGUUGUUUAAGCUACUUAUUGUUGAUAGACACAUACUGUCAAGUGAAGUAGUUUUAUGGGUGUUGGAUUUUUCCUCCUCCAAUAGGGUGGGUAGAACAGGUUAAUUUGGCUAAUGUGUUAACAUUUUAACUGCUCUGUAAAGUAAGUGGCUGCUCAGUAUGAUUUGUAUGUGUGAAAGGUCCCAAAAUCAAAAUUGUACAUCCAUAAUCAACCCUUUAACUCUUCCUUGCUCGAAACCAAAGGGCACUGGUUAGUACGGUAAGGUUGGAGGUUGUUAAUUUCUGGGGUGUGGAAAGUGGACAGCUUUACUUUAUAAGGUUGGAACAGCAGCACCAUCCAUGAAAUGAAAACCAAACAUUUUACUCUUUCCAAAUUUCCUAUAUUGCUAUUAAUUUUGGUCUUAAGUUGAUAGAUUCUGUAGAAGGUAACAAGUAUCUUUUUACCUCUUCCUCUGUUACAAAAUUAGGUUAAUAAUGGAUUCUUUGAUCAAGACCACUUACUAAAACAUACCUGGAGAGAAUAAACAGCCUUUUUAGGAUUUUCUUUUUUAAGUCUUUUGCAACAUUGAGGGGCUUUAUUUGCAGAUUUAAAGAUCUUUUUGUCACUAUUAGUAAUUUUCUAUCUACGUGGUAAUGUCCAAUUUUAAAAAUACUUGAUAUAAGACAUUAAGUCAUAAAAUGUCUCUAGCUCAUUAGUUUUCCCCUAUACUUCUAAAGGA